rnacentral:rRNA from 9 species
GCGCAGCCUGAUCCAGCAAUGCCGCGUGUGUGAAGAAGGCCUUCGGGUUGUAAAGCACUUUUGUCCGGAAAGAAAACCUUUGCCCUAAUACGGUGGGGGGAUGACGGUACCGGAAGAAUAAGCACCGGCUAACUACGUGCCAGCAGCCGCGGUAAUACGUAGGGUGCAAGCGUUAAUCGGAAUUACUGGGCGUAAAGCGUGCGCAGGCGGUUCGCUAAGACAGAUGUGAAAUCCCCGGGCUCAACCUGGGAACUGCAUUUGUGACUGGCAGGCUAGAGUAUGGCAGAGGGGGGUAGAAUUCCACGUGUAGCAGUGAAAUGCGUAGAGAUGUGGAGGAAUACCGAUGGCGAAGGCAGCCCCCUGGGCCAAUACUGACGCUCAUGCACGAAAGCGUGGGGAGCAAACA